AACGCGAAAAANCUUNACUACCCCUGACAUUUCUGGAAUCCNGCANAGAUGNGGAAGUGNUNAAAGAGAGCCAGAACAACAGGUGCUGCAUGGCGGUCGUCAGNNUCGUGUCGUGAGAUGUUGGGUUAAGUCCCCGCAAACGAGCGCAACCCUUGUCAUUAGUUGCUACGAAAGGGCACUCUAAUGAGACUGCCGGUGACAAACCGGAGGAAGGUGGGGAUGACGUCAGGUCCUCAUGGCCCUUAUGGGUAGGGCUACACACGUCAUACAAUGGCCGGUACAGAGGGCUGCCAACCCGCGAGGGGGAGCUAAUCCCCAGAAAACCGGUCGUAGUCNNGAUCGCAGUCUGCAACUCGACUGCGUGAAGUCGGAAUCGCUAGUAAUCGCGGAUCAGCUUGCCGCGGUGAAUACGUUCCCGGGUCUUGUACACACCGCCCGUCACACCAUGGGAGCGGGUUCUGCCAGAAGUAGUUAGCCUAACCGCAAGGAGGGCGAUUACCACGGCAGGGUUCGUGACUGGGGUGAAGUCGUAACAAGGUAGCCGUAUCGGAAGGUGCGGCUGGAUCACCUCCUU
rnacentral:rRNA from 1 species